rnacentral:rRNA from 1 species
CCUACGUGCGGCAGCAGUGAGGAAUAUUGGUCAAUGGGCGGAAGCCUGAACCAGCCAAGUAGCGUGCCGGAUGACGGCCCUACGGGUUGUAAACUGCUUUUAUACGGGAAUAACGCGCCUUACGUGUAGGGCUUUGCAUGUACCGUAUGAAUAAGGACCGGCUAAUUCCGUUCCAGCAGCCGCGGUCAUACGGAAGGUCCCGGCGUUAUCCGGAUUUCUUGGGUUUAAAGGGAGCGUAGGCCGCAUGUCAAGCGUGCUGUGAAAUGUCCGGGCUCAACCCGGGCCUUGCCGGGAGAACUGGCGUGCUUGAGUGCGCGGAAAGCAGGCGGAAGUCGUCGUGUAGCGGUGAAAUGCUUAGAUAUGACGAAGAACCCCGAUGGCGAAGGCAGCUUGCUGCAGCGGAACGGACGCUGAUGCUCGAAAGCGCGGGUAUCGAACAGGAUUAGAUACCCUUGUAGUC